GUAAAGGCUGCGAUGGAGAAAAAAAUAUUCGAUGUAUUAAUUACAGAGAGCCAACGUUAGGUGUAAGUUGGUAUUAAUGUGGAUAUAUAAUGAUCACUCUGGAGCCUCCAAGUUGAAAGGCUUUUGUUAAGUAAAUGAGGACGUUUACCAGCGAUACAUGGUUAUGGUUCACAAUGAAUAAGAUAUUUUAAUCAGUGUUCAAAGUUGACCUGAUAAUGAGUGGCAAUUAGUAUAUCUAAUUGUAAAUAAGGUGGUACCACGGAAGUAUAUCUCUCGUCCUUAUA
rnacentral:ncRNA from 1 species